rnacentral:rRNA from 1 species
UACGUAGGGGGCAAGCGUUGUCCGGAUUUAUUGGGCGUAAAGAGCGUGUAGGCGGCCAGAUAGGUCCGUUGUGAAAACUCGAGGCUCAACCUCGAGACGCCGAUGGAAACCAUUUGGCUAGAGUCCGGAAGAGGAGAGUAGAAUUCCUGGUGUAGCGGUGAAAUGCGCAGAUAUCAGGAAGAACACCCGUGGCUAAGGCGGCUCUCUAGUACGGUACUGACGCUGAGACGCGAAAGCGUGGGGAGCGAACAGG